rnacentral:rRNA from 1 species
AACCAGCUCUUCAAGUGGUCGGGAUAAUUAUUGGGCUUAAAGUGUCCGUAGCCGGUUUAGUAAGUUCCUGGUAAAAUCGGGUAGCUUAACUAUCUGCAUGCUAGGAAUACUGCUAUACUAGAGGGCGGGAGAGGUCUGAGGUACUACAGGGGUAGGGGUGAAAUCUUAUAAUCCUUGUAGGACCACCAGUGGCGAAGGCGUCAGACUGGAACGCGCCUGACGGUGAGGGACGAAAGCCAGGGGAGCGAACCGGAUUAGAUACCCGGGUAGUCCUGGCCGUAAACGAUGCAUACUAGGUGAUGGCACGGCCAUGAGCCAUGUCAGUGCCGUAGGGAAACCGUUAAGUGUGCCGCCUGGGAAGUACGGUCGCAAGGCUAAAACUUAAAGGAAUUGGCGGGGGAGCACCACAAGGGGUGAAGCCUGCGGUUU